GGCAGGUAGGGGUUCUCCGGGGUCCAGACCUGGCCCGGGUCCCUCACCUGCCCCACAACCUCCACCAGGCUUCGGCGAGCCCAUGAAACCCCAGAAGCCAGGCCCCCCAGCUCAGAAUGGCUAUGGAGCAGGCAUCAGAGCGCCGGCUAAGCCUCAGAAGCCAGG